rnacentral:lncRNA from 1 species
ACUUGUUAUCUGUGGACUUACUAAUGAUGGCCAUUCUGGCCGGUGUGAAGCGAUACCUCACAGCAGGUCUGAUUUGCAUUUCCCUAAUAAUUAGUGAUGUCGACCAUUGUUUCAUGUGCCUGUUGCUCUAUCUCUAUCUUCUUUGGAGAAAUGUCCAUUUAGGUCUUUUGCCCAUUUUUCAAUUGGGUGGUUGUGGGUUUUUUUUUUUUUUUUUUACUGUUGAGUUGCAUACGUUUGUAUAUUUUAUAGAUUAAGCCCUUGUCAGUAGCAUCGUUUGAAACUAUUUUCUCCAGUUCCGUAGAUUGUCUUAGAUACCCAUAUUUUUUAUUACAGAAGCAGGGUCAGCAGUCGAUGGUUUGCUGCCGCCUGAUUCUGCAAAUUAAGCAGUACUGGAACAUAGCCACACUCUCUCAUCACACACUGCCUGCGGGUGCCUCCGUACUACCUCGGCAGGUCUGGGUCGUGGUGACAGAGACCAUAAGCAUGCGACCUGGAAAGCUGAAAACAUGUCCUCCUUGGCCCUGCAAGAAAAGGUUCCCAAGGCCUGUUCGAGGACAGCUACGUAUUUGCCAGAUAUAGGCCGGUAGAGAAGCUGGCAGACGACCCCCUUGGUACACGCGACUUCCAACUUUUGAUGCCACUUCUCCGCGGUAUAAAAUCUUGCAGACAAAGAGGAUGAACAUUCUUAGCAACACUCGGUAUUUCUCUGACUUUACAGUCGGGCUGUACACACUUUACCAGGCUACAAAAGGUCAGCAAACACUCUAGUUUCAUUAGAGUCCAAUAAGCACCGAAUGCCAAUGUUUAGAAUGUCAGGGUUUAACAGGGCAGCAGAGAAACGAUACUUGAGGGCUCCUUUAAUUUCAUUACUUUCACUAUUUAGUGACCAGAUUUAUAUUUUGGUGAUGUUUUUACUUCCCCAAAAGUCCAAUGAUGAAGUUAUGGUUUAGAGAGAUCCCCAAACACCUUGGUUUAUUGUGAAAAAUCCUCUUCCAGGGAAAAGAAGUUCCUGGGAAGAGGAAAGGGGUUAUUUUUCUACAGGAAUGAGACUUCCUUGGGGGCAGCAAUUUCAGGCGGAAGCUUCUCCCUGGCGUUGGCUCGUUUGUUGGAGAGGACAAAGACUAGCGUCCAGGAACCAGCUGCUUUGGAAAUGUGGGACGUCCCCCAGCCCGUUGACUACCACCCGCCCCCCGACAGGGAAACUCAUAAAGAACACCAGCACAACUCUAACUGCACCCCCCACCCCCUCCCCGACCUUCAGGCUGGAGCUGGAGCUCACAGGGAGGGCCUGGUCGACCAGGUGGCGGGGAGCGGCUGAGCGCUGGGCUGUCCCGGGCUCUGGCUUUGCUGCGAGGUGCUCCAGGCUGGAGACCUUUUGUGUUCCCAUGGCCUCUCCGGAGCAGACAGACACUUUCUAAGAGGCUGACAAUUCCGUGGCAGCCGACCAAGAGUCCCUAGGCGGAGGAGAAGCAAAGCUGCACGGUUUGUUUAUGCUGCUUCUCGAGCUGACCAGGAAGACCCUGUCGGACGUCUCUCAGCCCGCGGCCCUCCUCUCGCCUCUGCUCUGGGUGGAGGCCCCUACCUUGAGCCGGGAUGUGGGACAAAGGGAAUUCCGCGGGAGUAAAGCUGUAAACCGAAGCGCGUCUCAAAACAGACUAAGCCAGGAACCCUCGUCCUCACGGCCCCGCACAGCCCUUCACGGCCCACCCGAGGGGGUUUCGGGCCCAGCUGCACCUUAGACCCCCUCAGGGAGCUUUAGCAAAAAGCUUAUUUGGGGGUCUGACUGCACCGCCUACAUUUCUGAAGGGCUCCCCACCGAGAUUCAGUGGCAGAGUGGAGAACCCACAGCCUCUGCAGGGGCCUUUCCAGCUUUUCCCCUUGGCCCCUCCACCCCCCCUGCGCCCCCACUCCUGCAGCCGCACUGAAGCUCCCCCCCUCCCCACCUGAGCACCUCUCACCCGUCCACUGGGACCGCAUCCAGUAGAGGACGGGCACGGUGCAGAUGACACGCGGCCCCGGUGUCGGAGACUGCCGCAUCGGGGUGCAGCUGCUGGCGCCGGCACUCAACCGGGCAAACCUCAGCAGGCGUCCCGCCUGCUUUCGCACCUGUAUGUGGCUGUGAAGACUGUGUAAGUCACUGUGGAUUCAAUACGAAGAACCUGCUCUCCAGAGACAGUAAUUUUUAAGUAUCUAUGAUUGAUACUAAAGCGUGGGCCCUUUAGAGGGAAUCUAGUCACACACUUUAUUUUAUUUGCUUUUUAGGGCUGCAGGCUAGAGGUCGCAUUGGAGCUGCAGCUGCUGGCCUACACCACAGCUCACAGCAACGCCAGAUCCUUAACCCACUGAGUAAGGGCAGGGAGCGAACCCACAUCUUCACGGAUACCAGUUGGAUUCGUUUCCACUGAGCCACAAAGGGGAACUCCCUAGCUACACACUUUAACCACACUAUGUGUGCCCAACAUGCUUCUAGAAAGGGUCUUUGAACAGACGCUGCCUGCUCACUGCUUCUUCAAGAUGUUUGUGUGAUCAUCUCUAGGGAUAGCAAAUCUUGAUAUCUGGAAGUUGGCUUGAAUUUCAUCUUAUUUUUUGGCUUUUUGGCUUUUUAGGGCCGCACCUGCGGUAUACGGAGGCUCUCAGGCUAGGGGUCCAAUCAGAGCCAUAGCCGCCGGCCUGCACCACAGCCACAGCAACUUGGGAUCCAAGCCAUGUCUGUGGCCUACCCCACAGCUCACAGCAACGCCGGAUCCUUAACCCACUGAGCGAGGCCAGGGAUCGAACCCGAGUCCUCAUGGAUGCCCGUCAGGUUCAUCGACCACUGAGCCACAACGGGACCUCCUGACUGAAUUUGAGAGCAGCCAAAAAUCUUUCAGAGCCAGUCCCGGUGAUUCAGCGCUUUAACAGGCUGGGCUUGUCCUGCAAGGGAAGCACUGAAUCCAGUUUCUCAACCGGACUCUAUAACCCCGGGUAGAUCUGAAAGUCUCAAAUGUCAAGGACCGGUCUCAGGUUGACAGCGUCUUUGCAUUUUGGGGACGUCUACCUGUUCAACAAGUGUCUCCCAAUCCUUUGCAGAAGGAGGCUGGGGAGAAAGGGAGAGAGAAAGAGGGAGAAAAUAGGUAGAAACAUAACAGAAACUGCCUGAUCUUAUAAGGAAGGAACACAUGGAAUAAUGAAAGAGCACCGCGGGAGGACCAAGGACAAUUAGCCGUAUGAAGCGAAAUGUGCUAAGAGCCAGGGUUUAGGACAGUGACCCUCAGCUAAAGAGACUGGAGGUGGUCCCCAAGGCCUGCUUCUCUCACCGGGAAAUUCAGUAGUUACUCCCCCGGGGACAGACUUCGCUUCGGACACCGUGUAGAGUGGGCCGUCUCGGAGCCCGCGUGAGUCACCGGCGCCCAACCACCAGCGGUUCUAAAGUUAGUGGACCUGCUUUACCUGCACGUUGUGCCUGAAGCCAUGGGCUUCCCUCAAGGCCACAGGAAGCGAGGGGUGGAGGGGCCACGUGGGGCAGGGUCAAGAGCACAGCCUUGCAGUCAAACAAGCCUGCAGGGAGUCUGGCUGUGUGGUCUGGGGCAAGACCCUUGAGCCUAGCACAGGGCCUGCCUGGAGAAUCCCUGGCUUCGGUCCCAGCACUCUGUCCAGUGUUCUUUCCUUUACACAGAAACUGCCCCUCGGUUUCUGCCUGAAGUUAGGUCUACACCACUUCCUACACAACUGCUAACUAUGCUUGUCAUAAAGACCAAGCAAAUGGGCCAGCUGUCAAAAUGCCCUCUUAAGUCAACCUAGAAUGGCAGCCACUCCAGCUCCGGGUGCAUGGGUCAUUUGGGACUGUCCUGCUGAGCAGGGCCUGCGCAGCUCCCUCAAGGCAGGGGUAGAAGAGACACGGCUCCAUGGACAGCACUAGCCAGAACAUCAAAGUCAGGAGGCCUUCUCAAGUUGGGUGACCUUGAGCGAGCCAUGUGACCUCUCCGAAUGUCUAUUUACCUUUAAAUGGAUGGGACAGUAUCUGCUCCAAGAAGAACAGGUAUCUCUGAGGACCAAAUGACAUCUGCUGUUCCCUGAUGCCAGUGCUGGAACGCGGCACCCUUCCGCCAGUCAGAGGGCUGAGCCCCUUGAGGCAGGGGCCAUGUCCCGUCCAUCCUCGCAUCUCCAACGCCAGCCACGAGAGGCUCCAGUUCAUCCGGGAGGUCUGCGUCUGGAUCCCCUUCUGUUUCUCAACUUUCCUAAGCCUCUUAUAUUCUCAUCAGAAGACGGGGACAAUUAUGAUUCCAGGAGAAUGAACCAAAUCUAUGUGCAUUACACUUGCGGGGCACCUAGAGGCACAGAGUGCUCAGUGUACAUAAGGGAAUCAUCACCAUCACCAACUUGACCACCAUCACCACCGCCGCCGCCACCACCAUCCACUGCUGCCAGCACCACCAUCACCACCGCCGCCACCACCACCAUCCAUUGCUGCCAGCACCACCAUCACCACCCAGCAGCAGCAGCAGCAGCACCAUCAUCAUCUCUAACUUCCACUCCAGGUUUUCCACGUGCCAAGAAUUGAACCCAGAGAUUUUGUAAAUUAACCCCCUUAGUCUCCCAAUUAAUACCGUGGGUACUAUGUCACUAUUCCCUUUGUUCAGUGGAGCAAACUGAGACACAGAGAGUGACUGACGCUUGAGGAUGACCCAGACAGGAAGUGGCAGAGGCAGGACUUAAACCCAAGCAUCUGGCCCCGGAGCCUGCAUUCUGAACUCUCUUGACUAGGCUGAAAGCCUAUUUAAAACUAGCUGAAAACAUGCUGUUGGAUACACUUAGGCAUAAGAACUUCAUUUAUAUUCCUGAAUAAAAUUAGAAGAUUUCACA